AACGAACGCUGGCGGCAUGCCUAACACAUGCAAGUCGAACGAGACCUUCGGGUCUAGUUGCGCACGGGUGCGUAACGCGUGGGAACCUGCCCUUAGGUUCGGAAUAACUCUCCGAAAGGGGUGCUAAUAUCGGAUAAUGUCUUCGGACCAAAGAUUUAUCGCCCUUGGAUGGGCCCGCGUUGGAUUAGCCUGUUGGUAGUGUAAGAGCCUACCACGGCGACGAUCCAUAGCUGGUUUGAGAGAAUGAUCAGCGACACUGGGACUGGGACACGGCCCAGACUCCUACGGGAGGCAGCAGUGGGGAAUAUUGGACAAUGGGCGAAGGCCUGAUCCAGCAAUGCCGCGUGAGUGAUGAAGGCCUUAGGGUUGUGAAGCUCUUUUACCCGGGAUGAUAAUGACGGUACCGGGAGAAUAAGCUCCGGCUAACUCCGUG
rnacentral:rRNA from 1 species